CUGCUGAUUGUGUCAUUUCUUAACGUAAAUAGUAAACACGUGUUUUUUUGUUGACGAAAAUAUUUCUGUUCCUUUGAUUUAAUAUUAAUCUAAUUUCCAUUUAGACAUCCGUACACUUUGUUACGGUAAACCUACAAGAGCAUGUUUCAUACCAUCAGAAAAGUCAAGAAAUACAGAAAACUUUUGUUGACUGAAGGUGUAAGAAAACGAAAGAAGAGACGAGGAACAAUAACUAAAAGAGAUUUUGUUGCCUGUGCAGAUCCACAAUUUCUUAGUAAAUCACAAAUUAGAAAUAGAAAAAUAAAUAGAAGUGUUAAUGUUUCUGGUAAAAGAAGAAGAAGGAUAAUGAAGUUACUAGGAAGACAGGCUAUAGUUAAAACAUCAAAUACAGAACCAAUGGUUACAACCCAAACAAAGAGUCAGAAAAAGUCUAAGAAGAAAAAUAAAAUUGUACCAGUAGAUUUAUCAACACCAGAAGAUAGUGAAGAAGAUGUUGAGAUGGAUGAUGAAGAAGAAGAAGAAGAUGAGGAUGCUGGAGUUAUUGAUGAAGUUAAAGCUGUAUAAAUUAUAUCUCUAUACAAUAAAAUAUAUUGAUUUUCUUU